CGGUAGCUAAUACCGCAUACGCCCUACGGGGGAAAGCAGGGGACCUUCGGGCCUUGCGCGAUUGUAUGAACCCAGGUGGGAUUAGCUAGUUGGUGAGGUAAUGGCUCACCAAUGCGACGAUCCCUAGCUGGUCUGAGAGGAUGAUCAGCCACACUGGAACUGACACACGGUCCACACUCCUACGGGAGGCAGCAGUGGGGAAUAUUGCACAAUGGGGGAAACCCUGAUGCAGCCAUGCCGCGUGUGUGAAGAAGGCCUUCGGGUUGUAAAGCACUUUCAGCGAGGAUUAUUGGUUGGUAGCUAAUAACUGCCAGCUGUGACGUUACUCGCAGAAGAAGCACCGGCUAACUCCGUGCCAGCAGCCGCGGUAAUACGGAGGGUGCAAGCGUUAAUCGUAAUUACUGGGCGUAAAGCGCACGCAGGCGGUUGGAUAAGUUAGAUGUGAAAGCCCCGGGCUCAACCUGGGAAUUGCAUUUAAUACUGUCCAGCUAGAGUCUUGUAGAGGGGGGUAGAAUUCCAGGUGU
rnacentral:rRNA from 1 species